AUUGAACGCUGGCGGCAGGCCUAACACAUGCAAGUCGAACGAGUGGCGGACUGGUGGGUAAGGGCUGGGAAACUGCCCGAUGGACGGGGCUGACUAGUAGAAACGUUAGCUACUACCGCAUACCAUGGUAUGUGCCCAAACGGGAUUAGCUAGUAGGUGGGGUACCGGCUCACCUAGGCGACGAUCCCUAGCUGGUCUGCGAGGAUGACCAGCCACACUGGAACUGAGACACGGCCCAGACGCCUACGGGAGGCAGCAGUGGGGAAUAUUGGACAAUGGGCGAAAGCCUGAUGCAGCAACGCCGCGUGAAUGAAGAAGGUCUUCGGGUUGUAAAGUACUUUCGGCGGGGAAGCGGUACCUGACGAAGAAGCAACGGCUAACUCCGUGCCAGCAGCCGCGGUAAUUC
rnacentral:rRNA from 1 species